ensembl:lncRNA
AUUGGUAUUAAAUUGAUUCUCUGAGAAACUAAGUAUGAGCAAAGACAGAAUGAAAAUGGACCUAAAUUAAGAAUACAGUGAAAAUAAGUAAGGAAAACCAAGGGGCUGUGAGGUGUUUUGGAGACUUUUGUGCCUGUUCUGGGUUAUGCCCACAGUCCUCUGCCAACACAGAUUGUCCCAGCUGGGAAGAGCAGGAGUGGGAGCAGGGAAGUCUCUGAAGGCAGCACAGAGAUUGUAAAUCUGUAAUGACCACUCUUAAGCAGAAAUAUACAGGUCACGCAAGGAGCCCAAAGUUUCACCUGGGUGCUGCUCCCUGGCCAUGGGGAUGUUCAGCCUGUCCUGGGCUCCCCCUUGGAGUCCACAGGACAGAGGAGCACACGGUGACAGUCAGGACACCUAUUCCUAAGGUGCUCAGCUCCCAGCAGGCAAAACAAAACGUGUUCCAGAGAUGGUUUCCAGCUCUGCACUGGGUACAUUGAGUAACCAAGCUGAGAAGAACCUAAAACCACAGCCCAUCUGAAAUCUACCACGAAGGUCCUGACAGAAAGCAGCAAACAACAGGGUAAGAACAGCCAGUGCUGGGUCCACACCACAGCCAGGAAAUAUUGAACAAGGACUCCAAAGCAGAUUUUCAUCUCAAAUUCAACACUGUCAAAAGAUAUAAAAAAAUUGUUUCCACUGACUCCUCAUCAUGUGAUUGCUUCCAAUUCUUUUGGUGGACAAUUUUGAAGAGGGCAAAGGAUCCUUCUGUUUCUCCCAGAAAAUUCCCUUUUUGCUGAUAAUAAAAGAGCAAAUCUCUAAAGCA